rnacentral:tRNA from 1 species
GGCCUGUUGGUCAAGCGGUCAAGACGCGGCCCUCUCACGGCUGAAACGGGGGUUCGAUUCCCCCACAGGUCA